AUUUAUAUAGUUUAAUAAAAACAUUACACUUUCAUUGUAAAAUUAGAACUCUUUCUUAUAAAUAC
rnacentral:tRNA from 1 species